rnacentral:rRNA from 1 species
GCGAAUCGCCCUUCGGGGUGCGCAGGCGCGAAAACUUUACAAUGCGGGAAACCGUGAUAAGGGGACACCGAGUGCCAGCAUCAUAUGCUGGCUGUCCGGGUGUGUAAAAUACACCCGUUAGCAAGGGCCGGGCAAGACCGGUGCCAGCCGCCGCGGUAACACCGGCGGCCCGAGUGGUGAUCGUGAUUAUUGGGUCUAAAGGGUCCGUAGCCGGUUUGGUCAGUCCUCCGGGAAAUCUGAUAGCUCAACUAUUAGGCUUUCGGGGGAUACUGCCAGGCUUGGAACCGGGAGAGGUAAGAGGUACUACAGGGGUAGGAGUGAAAUCUUGUAAUCCCUGUGGGACCACCUGUGGCGAAGGCGUCUUACCAGAACGGGUUCGACGGUGAGGGACGAAAGCUGGGGGCACGAACCGGAUUAGAUACCCGGGUAGUCCCAGCCGUAAACGAUGCUCGCUAGGUGUCAGGCAUGGCGCGACCGUGUCUGGUGCCGCAGGGAAGCCGUGAAGCGAGCCACCUGGGAAGUACGGCCGCAAGGCUGAAACUUAAAGGAAUUGGCGGGGGAGCAC